GAAGCGGCGCUUUUCCCGUCUCCAUGACAACGAGAGAGCAAACAAGAUGGCGGCGGCCCGGUUUGAGGGGUGAACUCGGGUGCGAAGUGCCGAUAACGCAGCUCUCUCUGCCUGCCUGUCUGCUCCUUCUUGCAGGUCAUGGCGGGGGUCGAGGAGAAGCAGGGAGUGGAGCUGCCCGUUCCUUCUCCUGAUCCCCAGCAGGACCUCUCCCAGGGGGUUUCCGAGGGGCCCAGCCUGCAGCACAGCCCCACUUACCAAGAGGAUGAAGAGGAGGAGGAGGAGGACGAUGAGCUGAAGGAGUCGCAGCCCACAGAGGUUCAGCUCAGAGUUUCCCCAGCUCUUUGGGAAGGGGAGCAUUUGGAAGGAGUGUUGGAUGAAGACACUGUGGCUGAGGGUCUCCACGAGCUGGGGCGCUCAGCGCCUGGUACUGAAUACGUUUAUCUUAAUCUGUCUCUUUCAGGUCAUGAGUUGAGCGACAUUAACAUUCUCUCCGGCUACGUUCACUUACAGAAGUUGGAACUUUCAUACAAUAAAAUUAAUGAUCUUUCUUGUGUCAGUCACAUGCCUUAUUUACUAGAACUGAACGCUUCCAACAACAAGUUGACUACAUAUUUUGGUUUUAAGCCACCAAAAAAUCUCAAGGUGGUAGAUUUUUCACACAAUCAAAUACCUAAAAUGCAAGAUUUAUCAGCAUACCGGUCCCUAACUAAGCUCUUGCUGGACUUUAAUAACAUAGAGGAGAUAAGAGGACUGGAGAAGUGUCGUAGUCUGACUCAUCUUAGCUUGUCACACAACAGACUGACUGCAAUCAGUGGCCUUGAGAACUUACCUAUCAGAAUACUCAAUCUGAGCUCUAACCUGAUUGAGAAGAUAACCGGGUUGGAUAGCUUGAAAACUCUAUGGAAGCUGGACCUUUCUAGCAAUAAAAUAACUAGUCUAGAAGGCUUGGAGGGACACGAUCUACUAGAGGUGAUCAAUCUAGAGGAUAACCAGAUUGCUGAGCUGAGUGAACUUGAAUGUAUUCAAGAUCUGCCUCUCCUCAGGGCUUUAAAUCUUUUAAAAAAUCCUGUGCAGGAACAGACAGAUUAUUGGCUGGUGGUGAUUUUCAUGUUGCAACAACUAACGGAACUGGAUCUCAAGAAGAUUUCAUUAGAAGAAAAGGUUGGUGCUGUGAAUCAAUAUGACCCUCCUCCAGAAGUUGUUGCUGCUAAAGAUCAUAUGACUCAGUUUAUGUAUAGCAUGCUGCAGCCCCAGAGGAUCUUUGACAGCACUCUACCUAGUCUCGAUGCUCCCUACCCCAUGCUGGUAUUGGCUGGCCCUCUCGCCUGUGGGAAGAGAGAGCUUUCUCAUAGGAUCUGCAGACAGUUCAAUAAUUUCUUCAGAUAUGGUCCCUGUCACACCACCAGGGCAGCUUACUUUGGUGAAGAAAACAGACUCGAUUAUCAUUUUGUUUCUCAAGAAGCAUUCGACAAAAUGUUGAAGACGGGGAAGUUUAUAGCCACCUUUAAAUACAGUGGCUACUACUAUGGACUUGGAAGAGACACUGUAGAUUCAAUUGCCAGAGAGGGUCUUGCAACAUGUGUUCAUUUAGAACUAGAGGGCGUGCGUAGCUUGAAAAAUACCUACUUUAAACCCAGAUAUAUCCUGGUGGUACCAAUGAACAAAGUAAAAUAUGAGGGACAUCUGCGGAGGAAAGGAUUAUUCAGCAGGCCAGAGAUAGAAGAGGCAGUAUCCAGAGUGGACAUGUACAUCAAAAUAAGUGAGGAUAUUCCAGGAUACUUUGAUGCAGUAAUCAGCGCAGAUGAAUUGGAUGAGGCAUUUGCAGAGCUGAGUUUCCUGAUAAAGGCAUACCUGGGUCUGGAGCCACCUGCAGCUUCUGAUAGCAGUCAAGACAUGAAUAGCAAAGCAGGAACAGGUUCAAGAAUACGCUUCUUGCAAGAGCAAAGAUUGUCACCCAGCAGAGGAGUGACUGGCACUACUCGGUCUUCAACCAUCAAUGAGUUCUUGGACUCCUCUGCCAAAAAUUAUCCAGGAGACACCUUGGACAAGCUUACUGCACAACUGAGUGCUGUAGAAGAAGCUUCUCUGCAAAGACGUCACGCUGCAGCACGUCAGGCUCUGUCAGGAAAGGCACCUAGUGCAUACGUCCAGCUGUUUCAAAGGGGCCUAGAAAUCACUCCUGCACCAGGCAGUUCCCAACAGCAAUUACUGGAGCCAACAACACGUCCUCCUCUGGUCUCAGAUGGAAGGAGUGUCACCCAAGACCACAGCUUCCCCCUGAUUAACAAGGAAAGCAGCUGCAGAGGAUUUGGGCCUGCUAGUAGGCUGUUUCCAAACUCAAGUGGUGCACCUGCUGCUGAAGGUCUGCCCAUUCGGAGCCCUCUUCCCCCUGCUCAUCUUCCUGAAGCUGCCAGAGCUCAGCACCAAGGUCCCAGGGGAGCUGAAGAUGGAGUGAACAGAUUGAAAGAGACUGAACUUCAUAGUGACAAUCUUCAGAGAAAAUACAGCAAACCCAAGACCACUUCUUCUCACGUGCCUCAGCUCACCAACUCCAAACCUGUCCUGCCUCCAAUCCCAUCUCGGCGAAAGGGCACCAACCCUUGAUGGCCACUGCUACCAAGUCUUGGUCUGAGUCACACUGAAGCUUUCUGUCUAACAGCAACGCUGAAUUUGAGAUCCUCAGAGGUCUUUGCAUGCAACAAAGAAGACACAACUCGCUGCCACAGUGCAGACUCAUGUCCAUGGAACAGCUUUGCUGUACCCCACUGUGCCUGUUCAGAGUGUGGCCGAGGGGUUCUGUUGUUUAAAUAGGGUGACCUAAACAAACUGGCCGUGCCCUCGAGCUGAAGCACAGCCCCUCAGAAGCACCGGUGGCUACCACUCUAGGGCUGCUCUGCUGGGUUCAAGAGGAGUUCAAGUAGCUGAGGCUGCAGCCUGAACCUUGAUGGCUUUGACCAUGGAAAGACUUCCAGAGGUCCACAAGUGGCUCUUCCUGCAAAUUGCUGAGCACAAUGAGUGCUGGGGCUGAGAUACUCCACAGACCAGGAGAAUGUAGACAGCCAGGGCAAGCAGCUACAGGCUGGGUGGAAGAUGAGAGCAGGAGGUAAGUGCUGGCUCAAUUCUCCAGCACCCACUUCCCAAAUUAGUCAGUUGGAUCUGGGAAAAAAUGGACACAAAAUUAUUUGUUUUGCUACUUUGUACCAUCAUCGCCCUGCUUCCUCCCCCACUAACCUCACUGAUACAGGCUGGUAGAGGCUCGAUGUGAAGACUACUGUGAAUCCAGCAGCUAUACCUUUUUAUUUUUAUUUUUUUAAAACACUUUCUGGAAACAGAUGGUGAAGAGUUGGCUUGGAUUGACCAAAGGGAUCCUUAUUCCUCUGCAGAAUGCACACAUCCAUCUCUAAAAAUACCUUUCUGAAGCACUGCGUUGCAUCCUAGCAGCAGCUGGCUGCCCUGCUAGCUCUGCCUGCUCCCUCAGGAGCUUGUCUAAUUGAAUAUGCUGCAUAAUAUGCUGCUAAUUUGGCAGCUGUCAAACUGAAUUACAGUAUUUUUUUUUUUAACAGUAGAGCAGUGGGGGUGAGAAAAGUUGCUGGGCGAUGUGAUUACACCAACUGACCAUGUUUCUCUUUGCAUCCCUCAUUCAAGGGAGAGCCAAAGAAGGUUUUGAAGAAGACCCAUUUGGGUCCUUCCGUGGUCUCAUCCCACACUUCCAACAGUGCUGGGUCUGUUUACCAGCUGUUGUCCCCAUGCUGUUGCAUUUGCAAACCCAACUCAAGUGCCCAUUCCAUCGAAGCUGGAGCUGAAGCAAACACUUCUUGGUACCCAACAUAGGCUCUGCAGUAAAUCUUGCUUCUUGGACAUACCCUUUUGGUAACCCUCCUGAAAUAUUUCAAGCUUCUGAGAUAUUUGUUCUGUCUUCUGUAAAGUGGAGAAAGAAGAGCUCUCGUUGCUGAGCCUGAAUUUCUUUUUUGCUGUUGGGAGGAGGGGGGAGGCAGCUCCUACAUUUUUAUCAUUCUUGCUUCUCCCUGCUCAGACCUCAGAGCAAGUAAAAGCAUGAAGGUAUAAAUCAAUGUCCAUCAGAGGCAUGAAAGCUCCAUGGUGAAAAAUCCCCUGUGCCAAAGGUACUUCCAGACAUGAGAUCUUCUCUUUAGACCCACAUGUCAAUCCUGUACUUCCCUGCUGGUAACAGCACAGAGGCCACCCCUGUCCAGGUGACAUCAAGACAAGGAGAGAUUUCCUUUGGUUCAAAAGGAGCCAGGAGUGUUUUUUCUUGCAUUAAUCCCAUGUGUUGUGGCUUCCACUACUCAACUGUGGAGACCAUGAAGGGCUGUGCUGCUCUCCCUCCCUUACCUUUAACAUGGUCUGAUGCUGAUAGGACAAGAGGGAAUGGUUUUAAACUAAAAGAGGGGAGAUACAGGUGAAAUGUGAGGAUCAAAUUCUUUACUCAGAGGGUGGGGAGGCCCUGAAACAGGCUGCAUGAAUAAGCUGUGGAUGUCCCAUCCCUGGAGGUGCUCAAGGGCAGGUUGCAUGGGGCCCUGGGCAGCCAGAUCACGCAGGGGGUAACCACCCCAUGGCAGGGGUUGGAUCUGGGUGGGUUUUAAGGCUCCUUCCAACCCAACCAUUCUAUGAUCUUGAUAGAAGACAUCUCUGCUCUGCAUGACGUGUGUUGUCCCCAUGUUGGCUCAAGGGGUCACCAGAUGUCACAUCUGUGCUAUGCUUUGGGCAGCUACCAGCCCAGGGAUUAUUUCCACCCAUGGUGACUCAAAGCAGGGUUAACCCUUUGUCUGGGCAUGAAGGACAACGUGCGUCUUCCUAUGUCUGUCCCCCAGCACCUCCUCCAUGGGAAAUGGGACCGUGUGGCUCUGACAGAUGCUCCUGCUUUGCCUCCUCCCUCUCAGGCUUUAAAGGGGUAAAUUAAUGUGCAUUCUCUGCACGGAUGUCUAUUGGUCAAUGCAAGGUCAGCACAUCCAUCUUCCAGCUGCUCAAAAAGAGCAGGGGGUGAAGGGUGAAGCCAAGUUGCUUAUAAUUGUAUGGAAGAAGGAAAAUAAUAAUAAUUACAAAAAAUUUCCAGCACGUUUUGGAGAAGGAAGGGGACCAGGAGAGACCCAUGACCCUGGGCCACGCUGGAGGCAAAAAUAAUGGCUCUAUAUCCUCCAAGCUGUUCCCCUCCCAGGUUUCCCAUGUCAGUAAAUCUCACCUUCCUCCUCUCUUGGGCUUCAGCUGCUGAUUUAUGGUUGCUAUAAUGAAAGAUGCUGAACAGAAA